rnacentral:misc_RNA from 1 species
GUUGUCAAAGUCUUUUCUUGACCUCUCUAAGAUGGACCAACAAUCAAAGCUGAAAGAGCGUCUAAAGAAAUACUGUCAGAAGGCAUAUAAACGGGUGCUUGAUAAACCUGUCACUGAACUUCGAGAAGCAGGGAUCUGCAUGCGUGAAAAUCCAUUUUAUGUUGACACUGUUCGCAGCUUUCGGGAUAGGAGAUAUGAAUAUAAAGGACUUAAUAAGGUUUGGAAGGGGAAGUUGUCAGAAGCCAAGGCUAGUGGAAAUUCCAUUAAGAUCCAGGAAGCACAGGACAUGGUUGUGCUUUAUGAUUCAUUGCAACUUGCA